UACGUAGGGGGCAAGCGUUAUCCGGAAUUACUGGGUGUAAAGGGUGCGUAGGCGGUAAGGUAAGUCAGAUGUGAAAGCCCUAGGCUCAACUUAGGGACUGCAUUUGAAACUGCCUUACUAGAGUGCAGGAGAGGAAAGUGGAAUUCCUAGUGUAGCGGUGAAAUGCGUAGAUAUUAGGAGGAACACCAGUGGCGAAGGCGACUUUCUGGACUGUAACUGACGCUGAGGCACGAAAGCGUGGGGAGCGAACAGG
rnacentral:rRNA from 1 species